GUGCCAAUAUCACUGCUACAAGGUUCGGCAGUUAUUUCAGUGGUCAAGAGGGAAUCAACAGAUUUACAGAAUGACUUGACACUGCUACAAUCAUUGUCAUGGCGGUUAACAUUAGCUAUUACUGCUUCCAGAAGAUGCUCAUUGCCAGUGUUGCUCAUUACUAGACUGCUGGUGCCAAUACCCUCAAGCAUGUCAACAGCCAUUUCUU
rnacentral:misc_RNA from 1 species